UUUGAUCCUGGCUCAGGACGAACGCUGGCGGCGUGCCUAAUACAUGCAAGUCGAGCGCGUGAAACUUAUUGGAUCCCUUCGGGGUGAAAAUUUGUGGAUCGAGCGGCGGACGGGUGAGUAACACGUGGGCAACCUGCCUGUAAGUCUGGGAUAACCCCGGGAAACCGGAGCUAAUACCGGAUAAUCAUCAACACCACAUGGUGUUGAUGUGAAAGAUGGUUCUGCCAUCUCUUACAGAUGGGCCCGCGGCGCAUUAGCUAGUUGGUAGGGUAACGGCCUACCAAGGCGACGAUGCGUAGCCGACCUGAGAGGGUGAUCGGCCACACUGGGACUGAGACACGGCCCAGACUCCUACGGGAGGCAGCAGUAGGGAAUCUUCGGCAAUGGACGAAAGUCUGACCGAGCAACGCCGCGUGAGCGAUGAAGGUCUUCGGAUCGUAAAGCUCUGUUGUCAGAGAAGAACAAGUGAUAGAGGAAAUGCUAUCGCCUUGACGGUAUCUGACCAGAAAGCCCCGGCUAACUACGUGCCAGCAGCCGCGGUAAUACGUAGGGGGCAAGCGUUGUCCGGAAUUAUUGGGCGUAAAGCGCGCGCAGGCGGCUUCUUAAGUCUGAUGUGAAAGCCCACGGCUCAACCGUGGAGGGUCAUUGGAAACUGGGGAGCUUGAGUGCAGAAGAGGAGAGUGGAAUUCCACGUGUAGCGGUGAAAUGCGUAGAGAUGUGGAGGAACACCAGUGGCGAAAGCGGCUCUCUGGUCUGUAACUGACGCUGAGGCGCGAAAGCGUGGGGAGCAAACAGGAUUAGAUACCCUGGUAGUCCACGCCGUAAACGAUGAGUGCUAGGUGUUGGAGGGGCCACCCUUCAGUGCUGAAGUUAACACAUUAAGCACUCCGCCUGGGGAGUACGGCCGCAAGGCUGAAACUCAAAGGAAUUGACGGGGGCCCGCACAAGCAGUGGAGCAUGUGGUUUAAUUCGAAGCAACGCGAAGAACCUUACCAGGUCUCGACAUCCUCUGACACCCCUAGAGAUAGGGCGUUCCCCUUCGGGGGACAGAGUGACAGGUGGUGCAUGGUUGUCGUCAGCUCGUGUCGUGAGAUGUUGGGUUAAGUCCCGCAACGAGCGCACCCUUGAUCUUAGUUGCCAGCAUUCAGUUGGGCACUCUAAGGUGACUGCCGGUGACAAACCGGAGGAAGGUGGGGAUGACGUCAAAUCAUCAUGCCCCUUAUGACCUGGGCUACACACGUGCUACAAUGGGUGGUACAAAGGGCAGCGAAACCGCGAGGUCGAGCGAAUCCCAUAAAGCCACUCUCAGUUCGGAUUGCAGGCUGCAACUCGCCUGCAUGAAGCCGGAAUUGCUAGUAAUCGCGGAUCAGCAUGCCGCGGUGAAUACGUUCCCGGGCCUUGUACACACCGCCCGUCACACCACGAGAGUUUGUAACACCCGAAGUCGGUGAGGUAACCUUUUGGAACCAGCCGCCGAAGGUGGGACAAAUGAUUGGGGUGAAGUCGUAACAAGGUAGCCGUAUCGGAAGGGGCGGCUGGGCCACCU
rnacentral:rRNA from 1 species